rnacentral:rRNA from 1 species
GUCGAGAAUCUUUCACAAUGGGGGCAACCCUGAUGGAGCGACGCCGCGUGGAGGAUAAGGUCUUCGGAUUGUAAACUCCUGUCAUGCGUGAACAAGGUUGCUUGGUUAAUACCUGGGCAAAUUGAUGGUAACGCAAGAGGAAGAGACGGCUAACUCUGUGCCAGCAGCCGCGGUAAUACAGAGGUCUCAAGCGUUGUUCGGAAUCAUUGGGCGUAAAGGGUGCGUAGGUGGCGUGGUAAGUCAGAUGUGAAAGCCCGGUGCUCAACCUCGGAACGGCAUCCGAUACUGCCAUGCUAGAGUACUGGAGAGGUGACUAGAAUUCUCGGUGUAGCAGUGAAAUGCGUAGAUAUCGAGAGGAAUACCAAAGGCGUAGGCAGGUCACUGGACAGUUACUGACACUGAGGCACGAAGGCCAGGGGAGCGAACGGGAUUAGAUACCCGUGUAGUCC